CUCUGGUCAAAUUCGAACAUAGUAUAUUGUACUGGGUUCCAACACGAUGCAUACCAUUUUGUGGUUCAUGAGUUAUAAACUAUGAUUAAAUUUCGCCAAGAUCUAGAGUAGAUCGGAUAUUUUCCUACAAGUCUUCAUAUUUGACUAAGGUUGAGAUAAAUCAGAUACUCUGUUAGUUCCACGAUUGACGAUGGGAUGUGUAUGAGAUCUUUAUACAUAUAUACUGUUGAUCAGUAUAUGCAUGUUCUUUUCCCUUAAACCUAUCGCGCUAAAUCUGAGGAAAUCGAACACUCAAUAGACUUGCUCACCAAUGCGUCCGGGUCAUCUUUACUUUACACCGUAUGACCCUGGUGUUGUGUUCGUUCUUAGCACUGCUCAGUUAGCAGUUAAUAAAUACAAAGUGGUGCAUCUGGUCGAGGCAGUUUGCAGAACGCUUCGCACGAUACUCAACAUGACCAGGCCAAUUCUUUCCGUCUGGUCGAAAUAUUUCGCACGGACAUCGAGUUUAAUUUUUACAAUAUGUAUGUGCAUG